GUGGGGGGUCAAUAACUGAAAAAGUUGUGUCAAAUCGAAAUCCUAGUUUACGAGAAUAUGCAAUUAGAGUCCUUAACGAUAUUCUGAGGAUUUUUACUCAGGACGGUACUGAGAUAUGAACGCUUAAGAUUCUUAUCUUAGACGGCAUACAGCGUUGCGGUUCAGCAUCUUGUCAGCCAUUUAUGAUCUCCAUUCCAUUCACCGAUGGUUUUCCUUUGGGCUCUUUAACAUGUUACCAUGUUCGCGGACGAGACUAACAUGUGUUGCUGAGAAGGAUUACCGCGAAGUUGGAGAUCUUAUAUGACUGGUUAUGCAGAAAUAGAAUAAAAUUAAAUGUAUAGU